rnacentral:rRNA from 1 species
AGUGAACGCUGGCGGUAGGCCUAACACAUGCAAGUCGAACGGCAGCACAGUAAGAGCUUGCUCUUACGGGUGGCGAGUGGCGGACGGGUGAGGAAUACAUCGGAAUCUACUUUUUCGUGGGGGAUAACGUAGGGAAACUUACGCUAAUACCGCAUACGACCUACGGGUGAAAGCAGGGGAUCUUCGGACCUUGCGCGAUUGAAUGAGCCGAUGUCGGAUUAGCUAGUUGGCGGGGUAAAGGCCCACCAAGGCGACGACCCGUAGCUGGUCUGAGAGGAUGAUCAGCCACACUGGAACUGAGACACGGUCCAGACUCCUACGGGAGGCAGCAGUGGGGAAUAUUGGACAAUGGGCGCAAGCCUGAUCCAGCUAUACCGCGUGGGUGAAGAAGGCCUUCGGGUUGUAAAGCCCUUUUGUUGGGAAAGAAAAGCAGCAGGUUAAUACCCCGCUGUUCUGACGGUACCCAAAGAAUAAGCACCGGCUAACUUCGUG